GUGAAUAUAGUUUAUAAAAAUACUAAACUGUGACUUUAGAGAUGGAAACUAAUUUCUUCCUAUUCACC
rnacentral:tRNA from 1 species